rnacentral:rRNA from 1 species
GAUGAACGCUAGCUACAGGCUUAACACAUGCAAGUCGAGGGGAAACGACAUCGAAAGCUUGCUUUUGGUGGGCGUCGACCGGCGCACGGGUGAGUAACGCGUAUCCAACCUGCCCACCACUUGGGGAUAACCUUGCGAAAGUAAGACUAAUACCCAAUGAUAUCCCACGAAGGCAUCCGAAUGGGAUUAAAGAUUUAUCGGUGAUGGAUGGGGAUGCGUCUGAUUAGCUUGUUGGCGGGGUAACGGCCCACCAAGGCAACGAUCAGUAGGGGUUCUGAGAGGAAGGUCCCCCCACAUUGGAACUGAGACACGGUCCAAACUCCUACGGGAGGCAGCAGUGAGGAAUAUUGGUCAAUGGGCGAGAGCCUGAACCAGCCAAGUAGCGUGCAGGACGACGGCCCCUAUGGGUUGUAAACUGCUUUUAUAAGGGAAUAAAGUGGGUCACGUGUGACUUUUUGCAUGUACCUUAUGAAUAAGGACCGGCUAAUUCCGUG